AUUGAACGCUGGCGGCAUGCCUUACACAUGCAAGUCGAACGGCAGCGGGCCUUCGGGUGCCGGCGAGUGGCGAACGGUGAGUAAUGCAUCGGAACGUGCCAUUGAGUGGGGGAUAACGUAGCGAAAGUUGCGCUAAUACCGCAUAUUCUGUGAGCAGGAAAGCAGGGGACCGCAAGGCCUUGCGCUCUUUGAGCGGCCGAUGUCAGAUUAGCUAGUUGGUGAGGUAAAGGCUUACCAAGGCGACGAUCUGUAGCGGGUCUGAGAGGAUGAUCCGCCACACUGGAACUGAGACACGGUCCAGACUCCUACGGGAGGCAGCAGUGGGAAUUUUGGACAAUGGGGGCAACCCUGAUCCAGCCAUGCCGCGUGAGUGAAG
rnacentral:rRNA from 1 species